GUCUAUGGCCAUACCACCCUGAACAUGCCCGAUCUCCUCUGAUCUCAGAAACUAAGCAGGGUCGGGCCUGGUUAGUACUUGGAUGGGAGAAUACACAAUUCUUAAAAGAGUGAACAAGAUGCCCUUUUAC
rfam:Cricetulus griseus cell line CHO-K1, whole genome shotgun sequence.